AACAACACCCCUAACAACAGAAAAAUCAACUUAAAAUUCUGAUAUUUAGUGGCGGGCGGGGUGAGUUACGCGUAAAGAAACUACCUUACAGUUUAGGGGACCACAUUUGGAAACGGAAUGCUAAUACCUGAAAAUUAUGAUUUUUAGGGGCAUCCUGGAAUUAAUGAAAGCCUAUAUGCCGCUGUAAGAGGAGCUUUUGCGUCCCCUUAGCUAGUUGGAAGAAGGUAAACGGCUCACCAAAGGCGAUGAUGGGGUAGCCGGGCCUGAGGAGGGGUGAACGGCCACAAGGGGGGACUGAGACACGGGCCCUUACUCCUUCGGGGAGGCAGCAGUGGGGGAAUAAUGGGACAAAUGGACCCAAGAGUCUGAUCCAGCCAUUUCUGUGUGCACGAUGGAAGUUUUUUCGGAAAGUAAAAUGCUUUUCAGUUUGGGAAGAAAAAAAAAUGACGGUUCCAACAGAAGAAGUGACGGCCAAAAUACGUGCCAGCAGCCGCGGUAAAUCGUAUGUCACAAAGCGUUUAUCCGGGAUUUAUUGGGCGUAAAAGCGCGUCUAGGUGGGUUAUAUAAGUCUGAUGUGAAAAAUGCAGGGCUCCACUCUGUAUUGCGUUGGAAACUGUGUAACUAGAGUACUGGAGAGGUAAAGCGGAAACUACAAGUGUAGAGGUGAAAUUCGUAGAUAUUUGUAGGAAUGCCGAUGGGGAAGCCAGCUUACUGGACAGAUACUGACGCUGAAGCGCGAAAGCGUGGGUAGCAAACAGG
rnacentral:rRNA from 1 species